CCUACGGGUGGCUGCAGUGGGGAAUAUUGCGCAAUGGGCGAAAGCCUGAUGCAGCGACGCCGCGUGAGGGAUGAAGGUCUUCGGAUCGUAAACCUCUGUCAGCAGGGAAGAACGGUCACUGUGUUAAUCAGCAGUGCAUUGACGGUACCUGCAAAGGAAGCACCGGCUAACUCCGUGCCAGCAGCCGCGGUAAUACGGAGGGUGCGAGCGUUAAUCGGAAUUACUGGGCGUAAAGCGCUCGUAGGCGGUAUGUCAAGUCAAGUGUGAAAUCCCCGCGCUCAACGUGGGAACUGCAUUUGAAACUGGCAAGCUUGAGUGUGUGAGAGGAUAGUAGAAUUCCAGGUGUAGGAGUGAAAUCCGUAGAUAUCUGGAGGAACACCAGUGGCGAAGGCGACUAUCUGGAACAUAACUGACGCUGAGGAGCGAAAGCGUGGGGAGCAAACAGGAUUAGAUACCCCGGUAGUC
rnacentral:rRNA from 1 species